rnacentral:rRNA from 1 species
GAUGAACGCUAGCUACAGGCCUAACACAUGCAAGUCGAGGGGAAACGGCAGCUUAGCUCGCUAAGCUGGACGUCGACCGGCGCACGGGUGAGUAACGCGUAUCCAACCUGCCCCACGGUGAGGGAUAACCCGCGGAAACGCGGCCUAAUACCUCAUGGCCUCCGAGCUUGACAUCAACCUUGGAGUAAAGAUUCAUUGCCGUGGGAUGGGGAUGCGUCUGAUUAGCUUGUUGGCGGGGCAACGGCCCACCAAGGCUACGAUCAGUAGCCGGACUGAGAGGUUGAACGGCCACAUUGGGACUGAGAUACGGCCCAGACUCCUACGGGAGGCAGCAGUGGGGAAUAUUGGGCAAUGGGCGAAAGCCUGACCCAGCAACGCCGCGUGAAGGAAGAAGGCCUCGGUUGUAACGUUCUUUAAGUAGGGACGAAGAAGUGACGGUACCUACUUGAAUAAGACCACGGCUAACUACGUGCCAGCAGCCGCGU